rnacentral:rRNA from 1 species
UUUAAAGAGAGUUUGAUCCUGGCUCAGGACGAACGCUGGCGGCGUGCCUAAUACAUGCAAGUCGAACGAACGGAGGAAGAGCUUGCUCUUCCAAUGUUAGUGGCGGACGGGUGAGUAACACGUGGGCAACCUGCCUGUAAG